rnacentral:lncRNA from 1 species
UCGCAGCUCAACCCCUGACGCGCCAAGCCUCACUGUGACGGUGCCCAAGGGCGGCAAAGAAGGGUCCGCCGCCGCAACUCACCUCGGCACGGGCACGGAAGCACCCGAGCACCACCACGUCGCGGCUCGAAUUGCAAACACCGACGGCAACGCUCGAAGCCCGGCUCCCGGCGGAAUCUUGAACCCCACGAAGACUUGACGAUCCUUAGCACCUGCAGUGGUGAAUUGGGCCGGCUAAACUCCCCCGGGAGACACCUACGAGCCACCGGUCUCGUCUCCGUCCUCGGGUGCCGCCGAAGCGCGUCUUCGGCACCGAAGGGGAGGAAAACGAGAGUGGGCUAUGCCCCUCUUGCAUUCCAUGGCUCCAUUUUUAUAGGCAGAAGCCCCCCUCGGCGUCCGGGCCCAGCCCCUCGCCGGUCGGUCCGGUCACAGCAAGAGGACAAGGCCAAGCCAACCAAGAGGCAGAAGGCACAGGGCAAAAGAGAUAAAGAGGGGAAGAAAAGCAAAAUAGGGGGGCGGCCCCGGCCGAGGGACCAGCUCCUAGCCGUUCUGGCCACGCUGCGCAACCGUCGGCGUCAUCCCGGUGACGGGCUCACCUGCAAAAGGAGAAAGGGGGACGAGCUCUUUUCCUCACCCUGUACGAAGGAGGAAGAUAUAGGGCUUCGGCCUCCCCAUCACCGUCCGAUCUCUCCACUUGAAGUCAACGAACCGGUAUACAGGCCAGAAGGCGACGUGGGCCUCGGCCCAACAACGAGCGCGAAAUAAAAAAAAAGAAAUAAAAAGGAGCAGCCCAGGAACACACCCAGGCGUGGCAGAGCGGGGGUUUUCUUUCAGAAACAACCCCCAAGACGCAGAAAAUUGCAAGCUGCCCCCGGGCGGCUCAAACAUUCGCGCAGGGACCCUCGGAAAAUCCGAAAUUUUCAAGCACGUCCCUGCAGCAUAAUUACCUUGCAAAAGGAGUCCCCCGGCCUCGAAAUUUUGCAAGGAAGACCUCGGAAGUAUCUGUUUCUUCGAAAUAGACCUCACGAUGGGCGAAACCUCGCGAAGGAACCCACC